rnacentral:rRNA from 1 species
UACGGGGGGGGCAAGCGUUGUUCGGAAUUACUGGGCGUAAAGGGCUCGUAGGCGGCCAACUAAGUCAGACGUGAAAUCCCUCGGCUUAACCGGGGAACUGCGUCUGAUACUGGAUGGCUAGAGGUUGGGAGAGGGAUGCGGAAUUCCAGGUGUAGCGGUGAAAUGCGUAGAUAUUGGGAGGAACACCAGUGGCGAAGGCGGCUCACUGGACCGGAACUGACGCUGAUGCGCGAAAGCGUGGGGAGCAAACGGG